rnacentral:rRNA from 1 species
CACGUAGGGCGCAAGCGUUGUCCGGAAUUAUUGGGCGUAAAGAGCUCGUAGGCGGUUUGUCGCGUCUGCUGUGAAAACGCGAGGCUCAACCUCGCGCCUGCAGUGGGUACGGGCAGACUAGAGUGCGGUAGGGGAGAUUGGAAUUCCUGGUGUAGCGGUGGAAUGCGCAGAUAUCAGGAGGAACACCGAUGGCGAAGGCAGAUCUCUGGGCCGAUACUGACGCUGAGGAGCGAAAGCGUGGGGAGCGAACAGG